GUCUUCCUGCGGAGUUUCGCGUGGAGGCCAGGGGAAGGCGAUGGGCGGGACUAAAGGAAUUCUGUCUCUAACAAUGGUAUUGGGAUGUUUAGCUGCUCAAGGUGAAGUCAUUUGAAAAAAAGAUUCAGUUACUCACAUAUUCCCAAUUCUGAAUUUGCUGAGAUUCCAGGAUGGAGAGAAUAUUUAAUUUACAUUUUUAGAGAGAACGCGCAAAUGUCUCAACUGUAACAGAGGCCUCCACUUCAGCUUGUGUUUCAAGGACACCAGGAGAACUAAGUUUAAUCCGUCCAGCCCCAGCAGCAUCCUCAGGACCAAGACCAAACAGGAUGAGUUUCUGAAAAGAAGACCUUACUGGAAUGCGUGCUAAGGUCUUAGUGCUCAGCACACACAGUAGGUUCUUUAAAGGCCUGUCUCUGUGAUCGGGGAAUUUGAAUUCUAGAGGUAAAGAGAGAGACAUGGAAUCCCAAGCAUUUCCACUUGCACUUGUGGCAAACAUAGGACCUAUGGGACCUCCUACAAGAAUCUCUGCUCUUGUCAGGGGUGAGUGGUGGGGUGGGUGAAGAUGUUAAAAAAGACUUCCUACAGGCAACCUCAGAAGUGAAUCUGGAAGGCUACAGAGGACAUGUAUAGCAGUCACCUUUACCAUCGCUGGAACAAAUACCCAACACUUGCCACACAACAGGACCGUAUGCUUGUGAGGCAGGCUUCGCUCUGCUGAGCAAAAUCCCUGACCCCUACUUGCAAUUUAAAGGAGGAAGAGCUGGAAGAAAGUCAGAUGAUUCAGGCAAGUGCAAGUGGUUCAGGGGAGGCUGAUGGAGUAGUAGAGGAUAUGAGUUUGGCCAGGCAGGAGGAGAUAGAGAUAGGCCUGGAAGAUUAUGCUAAGGAUUUGGAACUUUAUUCUGAAUUUAAUGGGGGAAGUAAAAUUGGAAAAAAUGUAACAUGUUCAAAUUAAUAUUUUAUUUCUGGCAGCAGCAAAGGGGGAAUGAGACUAUACAGUUAGGGAGGCCAAUUCCAAGCUUUCGAAGCCAACCAGAAUUAAUGAUUUAGUUUUAGGGACCUUCAUCCUAUGUACUUCCCCCCUUUUCUCCUUUGCUAAUAAUAGUUGCAUUGGUUGAAAACUUCUUUUCCUCCGUCUCUAUGUGCUGUAGUGCUACCGCCUAUUGUUUAAGGGCCAGCUUGAGUGAAUGAAUACAGGUACUGUGGGCCAAACAGAAGCAACUGUAUAGCUCUGGGUCUAUUUCUGAGAGUAACUGGGAGAAGAGUAUCUUGAUCAGUAGAGCAAUGUUCUAGAUACCUGGGACUAUAUAAAGUUACUCAGUGCUUAACUAUUUCUAUAUGCUUGACAUUAUGAAAUUCUGUGCUUACAAGGAUUAUCUGUUUAACUUGUACAACUACAGUAAUACAUUACUUGGUGAUGGGAAAUGUGUUAGGCAAUUCCAUUGUUGUAUGAACAUCAUAGAGUGGCCUUGCACAAUCCUGGAUCUAGUCUUUUGAUAUAAUCAAGCAACACAGCAAAUGAGAUGUGUGAGGAUGUUGCUUUCCUGAUAUGGCAUAUUGUUUUGUUUUAUAAUCAACUGAAAAAAAUUACAUAAGUAGGAAGAGUAAACUCUAAUACAGUGAUGAAGGUAUAUGGUAAAUACACAAGCCAGUAACAUAGUCAUAUAUUAUCAAGUUAUUGUAUACCAUACAUAAUUGCAUGUGCUAUACCUGUAUGUAACUGGCAGUCACUAGGUUUGUUUUUAGUAGCAU